rnacentral:ncRNA from 1 species
AAAAAAAAAUUCUAUGUGUAAAAUUUAACAUAUAAAUAAAUUUUUUAUGGUUUAAAAAAUUUAUUUUAAAUUUAUUUUACAUAUAAAUUUUAGUGUUAAAUAUUAAUUAUUUAAAUAAUAUUUAAUUAAUUAAGUAGUAAUUAAUUUUAAAAAUUUAAGAAAUUAAGAUUUAGUAAUAUUUAAAUUAAUAACUAAUUUUGUGCCAGCAGUUGCGGUUAUACAAAGAUUAAUUUAAAUUUUUUUAGUUAUUUAAUAAUUAAAUAAAAAAAAAUAAUUUAAAUUUAAAAUUAUUAAGUGAAAUUUUAAUUUUAUAAAAAUUUAUUUUGUAUUUAUGAUUUAAUAAAUUUUGUUAAAAACUAGGAUUAGAUACCCUAUUAUUAAAAAUUUAAAUUAAUAAUACUAAAAUAGUAGGUAAUUAUUUAUUGAAACUUAAAUAAUUUGGCGGUAUUUUAGUUUAUUUAGAGGAAUCUGUUUAAUAAUUGAUAAUCCACGAAUAAAUUUACUUAAUUUAAAAUUUUGUAUAUCGUUGUUAAAAAAAUAUUUUUUAAUAAAAAUAAUAUUUUAAAAUUUAAAAUAAAAAUUAAAUCAGAUCAAGAUGCAGAUUAUAAUUAAGAAUAUAAUGGAUUACAAUAAAUUUAUUUAAAUUGAAUUUUAAUAUGUAAUGAUUAAAUGAAAUUGGAUUUAAAUGUAAUUUUAUUUAAAUUAAUAAAAUGAUUAAUUAUUAAAAUAUGUACAUAUUGCCCGUCGCUUUCAUUUAUAAAUUGGAAUAAGUCGUAACAAAGUAGAGGUACUGGAAAGUGUUUCUAGAAAGA